AUUCUUCAAAAGUUUCACUGACAUGAACCUCACUUGUGGGUGCCAGGUUAUGACCACAUGCAUAGUUUCAUCUUCAUCUUAUGCAACAUUUGGGGUAAAAGGAAGGUUAUGUGGUAACCAGUUUAUGACUUGAACUAUAGGCAAAGAUUGACCAGACCAAGCCCUGAGACACAGUGUUGAGAGCCAAGACAUAAAGUUGUGAAGAUUCAGACCCAGAGCCCAGCAGGGUACAGGCUGGAGGGGUGAUGUGAGUGAUCAGUAACACCAUGAAGACUCUGCUCCUGGGUCAGGAAUGCUUUUUUGUCCCUGUUUUGGAUUUUCCACCAUGAACAGCCAAUGCAGGAAGAAAUCUAAAGGUGAAGGAAAGGCAGCGUUCAGCACUGAGCAAGUCCAUGUUGGAGAAAGGAUAAAUAUUCUCAAAGAUUCAAGCUAUGAAGACCAAAUCUACAGAAGAUAGCAACUCAUUCACAGGGAAUUGGAAAUCCUUGUCUUCGUGGUUCCUGGCUCAGCAGGACCCCUGUGGGGCCUCUCCCUCUCUUGGGAAAGAGACUGCUCUAGAAGGUUUACUACACCAGUGAGGAGAAGAUGAGCGCAAGGGGGAUUGGCUGGCUGAGGGCGAAAUCAAGACUGGAGCCAAGUGCGCUGAGCUCUCACAUGAGGUCCUUUGCUCCUGUUCCCUGGAGGC
rnacentral:lncRNA from 1 species